UUGAGUGUGUGUCCGUGAAUGUAGUGGUCGGGGUGGGGUGGGGGGUCCGUGUUUGCGAUCUGAACCUUUGGUACCUACAAGGAGGGUGUCUCACCGAACGGUAGCUAAAACCUCACCAGAACCGUGCGGAAGUGGGAAGUCGCGGCCGAAAGCGCCUGCCAGAGCCUCUUCUCUCGGCCGGACCCCGGCCCGAGCAGCCAAAAGGAGCCCCCCGCCCGGACUGCAGAAAUACAAUGAUACUAUGAAUUUUAUGAGACUUAUGAGCAAACUCAAUACAUUCAUCUAUGCAGUCUAUUGAUGGGAAAUAGCAUCAGGUAUAUCAGUUUCAACACUGACAAGCAAAAGAAAAAUGUGAUUCAAAGAAGAGAUGAACUCAAUUGCUUUCUUAAUGAAGAGGAUCACAAGAUAAUUCUAAUUUAAGCCCUGAAGGAAAGAAGACUGCCUGGCUGACACUCCUGAUAUUCCAUGGAACACUUUGGUUUACAAGCCCUCUUGGUCUCUAGUGCCAAACUAUGGAGUUCUCACCUUCCACUGGCCUGCUUAACAGAAACGACUCCAUGAUGAAGAAGAUGUGGUUUGAACAUAGCAACACAAUAUGACUACAAUAGGACUGAAUACCAGUGGCCAACAGCACUAUUCUGCAUUUUCUUAUCUGGAUAUAGCGUAAUCAGAGAAAGGAGGCAGGAUAAAACCACCUUGGCUUUUGUGUGAGACAGUGACUAAAGAGAAAGUCUGCUUUGGUUGCAGAAUAUAAGGUUUAUUGAAUAAAGAUACUCAGGGGUGGUGCCUCAGCUGUCAUGUGCCAAGUCAAGGCACUUUACUUCAGUCUCCAUGUAGAUCUUUCUGUUAUAAGAAGGUGACCCAUAAGUUCUUUCAAGUGUCAUUGCUGAAUGUUUUGGCUAUGAUUGUGGUUUUCUUUUAU